rnacentral:rRNA from 1 species
AUGGAAAGUGUUCAAUUAGAACAUGAAAACGUGACUCAAUUGGUCUUAGUUAGUCUUCGGGACGGAGUGGAAGAAGGGCGGAGACUCUCAAACGAGGAAAAGGAUCCCUUCGAAAGAAUUGACUUACCCCUUUUGGAUGUUUCUGGGCUUUAUUUUCCACAUUUAUAUCAUUUUUGGGACUAA